rnacentral:lncRNA from 1 species
CGUCGUCCGAAUACUUUUAGUUUUCGCACUCUGACUUUAGUAAAAGUGAAUAGAAAUCAAUGAAAUUUUAACACAAGGUUUAUGACCACAAAAGGAAGGUUGGGAUUGAUUUUGGGAGUUUUGGUCCCAACAUUUUAGGAAUUAGGGGCCAAAAAGGGCCCAAAUACGCAUUUUCUUGGUUUUCGCACUAUAACUUUAGUUUAAGUGAAUAGAAAUCUAUGAAAUUUUGACACAAGGUUUAUGACCACAAAAGGAAGGUUGGGAUUGAUUUUGGGAGUUUUGGUUCCAACAGUUUAGGAGUUAAGGGCCAUAAAAGGGCCCAAAUAAGCAUUAUUCUUGGUUUUCGCACAAUAACUUUAGUAUAAGUAAAUAGAAAUCAAUGAAAUUUUAACACAAGGUUUAUGACCACAAAAGGAAGGUUGGGAUUGAUUUUUGGAGUUGAGGUCACAACAGUUUAUGAAUUAGGGGCCAAAAAGGGGCCCAAAUAAGCAUUAUUUUUUGUUUUUGCACCAUAACUUUAGUAUAAGUAAAUAGAAAUCUAUGAAAUUUAAACACAAGGUUUAUGACCAUAAAAGGAAGGUUGGGUUUGGUUUUGGGAGUUUUGGUCC